UUUGAUCCUGGCUCAGGAUGAACGCUAGCUACAGGCUUAACACAUGCAAGUCGAGGGGCAGCAUUUCAGUUUGCUUGCAAACUGGAGAUGGCGACCGGCGCACGGGUGAGUAACACGUAUCCAACCUGCCGAUAACUCGGGGAUAGCCUUUCGAAAGAAAGAUUAAUACCCGAUGGUAUAAUCAGACCGCAUGGUCUUGUUAUUAAAGAAUUUCGGUUAUCGAUGGGGAUGCGUUCCAUUAGGCAGUUGGUGAGGUAACGGCUCGCCAAACCUUCGAUGGAUAGGGGUUCUGAGAGGAAGGUCCCCCACAUUGGAACUGAGACACGGUCCAAACUCCUACGGGAGGCAGCAGUGAGGAAUAUUGGUCAAUGGGCGCAGGCCUGAACCAGCCAAGUAGCGUGAAGGAUGACUGCCCUAUGGGUUGUAAACUUCUUUUAUAUGGGAAUAAAGUUUUCCACGUGUGGAAUUUUGUAUGUACCAUAUGAAUAAGGAUCGGCUAACUCCGUGCCAGCAGCCGCGGUAAUACGGAGGAUCCGAGCGUUAUCCGGAUUUAUUGGGUUUAAAGGGAGCGUAGGUGGACAGUUAAGUCAGUUGUGAAAGUUUGCGGCUCAACCGUAAAAUUGCAGUUGAUACUGGCUGUCUUGAGUACAGUAGAGGUGGGCGGAAUUCGUGGUGUAGCGGUGAAAUGCUUAGAUAUCACGAAGAACUCCGAUUGCGAAGGCAGCACACUGGACUGCAACUGACACUGAUGCUCGAAAGUGUGGGUAUCAAACAGGAUUAGAUACCCUGGUAGUCCACACAGUAAACGAUGAAUACUCGCUGUUUGCGACAUACAGUAAGCGGCCAAGCGAAAGCAUUAAGUAUUCCACCUGGGGAGUACGCCGGCAACGGUGAAACUCAAAGGAAUUGACGGGGGCCCGCACAAGCGGAGGAACAUGUGGUUUAAUUCGAUGAUACGCGAGGAACCUUACCCGGGCUUAAAUUGCAUUUGAAUAUAUUGGAAACAGUAUAGCCGUAAGGCAAAUGUGAAGGUGCUGCAUGGUUGUCGUCAGCUCGUGCCGUGAGGUGUCGGCUUAAGUGCCAUAACGAGCGCAACCCUUAUCUUUAGUUACUAACAGGUCAUGCUGAGGACUCUAGAGAGACUGCCGUCGUAAGAUGUGAGGAAGGUGGGGAUGACGUCAAAUCAGCACGGCCCUUACGUCCGGGGCCACACACGUGUUACAAUGGGGGGUACAGAAGGCAGCUACCUGGUGACAGGAUGCUAAUCCCAAAAGCCUCUCUCAGUUCGGAUCGAAGUCUGCAACCCGACUUCGUGAAGCUGGAUUCGCUAGUAAUCGCGCAUCAGCCAUGGCGCGGUGAAUACGUUCCCGGGCCUUGUACACACCGCCCGUCAAGCCAUGAAAGCCGGGGGUACCUGAAGUACGUAACCGCAAGGAGCGUCCUAGGGUAAAACUGGUAAUUGGGGCUAAGUCGUAACAAGGUAGCCGUAA
rnacentral:rRNA from 1 species